AUUGAACGCUGGCGGCAGGCCUAACACAUGCAAGUCGGGCGAGCGGAGGACGGGUGAGUAAUGUAUGGGGAUCUGCCUGAUGGAGGGGGAUAACUACUGGAAAUGGUAGCUAAUAGCGCAUACCAGCAGAGGACCCCGUAUGGCAUUAGCUUGUAGGUGUGGUAACGGCUCACCUGGGCGACGAUCCCUAGCUGGACUGAGAGGAGGAUCAGCCACACUGGGACUGAGACACGGCCCAGACUCCUACGGGAGGCAGCAGUGGGGAAUAGUGCACAGUGGGGGCAAGCCUGAUGCAGCCAUGCCGCGUGUAUGAAGAAGGCCUUCGGUUUGUAAAGUACUUUCAGUCGUGAUGCGUUACCUACAUAAGAAGCACCGGCUAACUCCGUGCCAGCAGCCGCGGUAAUAC
rnacentral:rRNA from 1 species